rnacentral:sRNA from 1 species
AGAGCAUUGAUCAAUUCUUGGAGACUCAAUUAUGUGAAGUCUUUUGAAUCUUCUAAAGAACAUA